rnacentral:rRNA from 1 species
UACAGAGGGGGCAAGCGUUAUUCGGAAUUAUUGGGCGUAAAGGGCGCGUAGGCGGCCUGGCAAGUGGAAGGUGAAAUCCCUCGGCUUAACCGAGGAACUGCCCCCUCAAACUGCUUGGCUUGAGUCCGGGAGAGGUGAGUGGAAUUCCCAGUGUAGCGGUGAAAUGCGUAGAUAUUGGGAGGAACACCAGUGGCGAAGGCGGCUCACUGGACCGGAACUGACGCUGAGGCGCGAAAGCGUGGGGGGAGCAAAGCGGGGGAUUAGAAAACCCC